AUUAGAUACCCUGGGUAGUCCACGCAGUAAACGAUGAAUACUAAUUGUCCGGGACGAAUGAGUCCUGGGUGAUACAGCGAAAGCGUUAAGUAUUCCACCUGGGGAGUACGCCGGCAACGGUGAAACUCAAAGGAAUUGACGGGGGCCCGCACAAGCGGAGGAACAUGUGGUUUAAUUCGAUGAUACGCGAGGAACCUUACCCGGGCUCAAACGGCACAGGAAUACUUUUGAAAGGAGGUAGCCCUACGGGGUCUGUGCCGAGGUGCUGCAUGGUUGUCGUCAGCUCGUGCCGUGAGGUGUCGGCUUAAGUGCCAUAACGAGCGCAACCCCCACCGUCAGUUGCCAGCAGGUAAGGCUGGGGACUCUGACGGGACUGCCAGCGCAAGCUGUGAGGAAGGCGGGGAUGACGUCAAAUCAGCACGGCCCUUACGUCCGGGGCGACACACGUGUUACAAUGGCAGGUACAGAGAGAAGCCAGGUGGCGACACCGAGCGGAACUUCAAAGCCUGUCUCAGUUCGGAUCGGAGUCUGCAACCCGACUCCGUGAAGCUGGAUUCGCUAGUAAUCGCGCAUCAGCCAUGGCGCGGUGAAUACGUUCCCGGGCCUUGUACACACCGCCCGUCAAGCCAUGGAAGCCGGGAGUGCCUGAAGUGUGCGACCGCAAGGAGCGCCCUAAGGUAAAACCGGUGACUGGAGCUAAGUCGUAAGCAGGUACC
rnacentral:rRNA from 1 species